AGCCACGGACCCCCGAAAACCUGAAGAGGAGUACAAAAGGGGGAAAUUAUAUUGGCUUCGUCCUUCUCCGUCCGAACCCUAGAAGAAGAAAAAACACCUAAAAGUUCCAAUUUUCUUCUUCUGCUUGCUUUAGAAUUAUCUCGAACUUUCUCUGAUCUACCAUUUCUACCCUUAUACUGUCUUCAAUUCCUUUCCAAUUCCCUUCCCUUCCAACCUUUCUCUCUCGCUCUUCAUUUCACUGCUCAAUUUCUCUUCUUUUCCUUUUUUUUUGUUUUAAAUUUCGCUAGGUUUUGGUUUUUAUUUGAAUUUGACAAUAUUUUUGUAUUCUUUUUACUGGUAGAGAAGCGUGAGUGAGUUGAAUAGAAGAAAAGAAAAAAAAGAAGUUGAAUUUUCGCGCUUUGCUUUGCCGUGAUCUGAAUAGGUACGGUGGCGAACUUGCCAUUUCAUGUUUGAGUUUAUGAUGGUACAUAUUUCGUGAAUCAUUAACACAUGGAUCCUGAAGGCAAGAAAUUUGGAGGAGGACCAAGAGAACUUAGCGGUGCUGUUGAUCUUAUAAGUCACUAUAAAUUAUUGCCUCACCAAGACUUCUUCUGCAAGAGACCUCUUCCUGUAUCAAUCUCAGAUACACAUUAUCUUCAUAAUGUGGUGGGAGAUACUGAAAUUAGAAAAGGAAAAGGGAUGCAGCUGGAUCAGCUUAUUCAGAAUACAUCUCAUAACAAAGACGCUAAUAUCCGUAUACAGCCUUUUGACCUUGAUAUUCUUAAGGAGGCUUUCCAGCUGAGUGAAACCACUCCUGUCGAAUUGCCGGCGAGUGAGAAAGGGAUUCCUACAAUUGCUGGGAAAUCAAAGAGUAAAGCUAAAGAUAAAGAUAGAGAGAGGAAGCACAAAAAGCACAAGGACCGAGAUAAGGAGAAGGAUAAAGAGCAUAAGAAGCACAAGCACCGUCAUAAAGAUAAAGAUCGAAGUAAAGAUAAAGACAAGGAAAAAAAGAAGGAUAAAAGUGGGCAUCAUGAUUCUGGCGCUGAUCACUCAAAAAAGCAUCAUGAAAAGAAAAGGAAGCACGAUGGAGAUGAAGAUCUUAAUGAUGUUCAAAGACACAAAAAAAGUAAGCAUAAAAGCUCAAAAAUAGAUGAAGUUGGUGUAAUUAAAGUAGCAGGCUGAAGGGGUGGCUCUAUAGUUCUUUUGUCGUCUCAGAUGGUUAUUAGAGAGUGGGAGGGUUCUUAAUGUUCUCUUCUUUGCUUGAGUAAAAUACGGCAAGUGUGGUAAUUUAGUGGAUAUGCUAAAUUAGUGUUUUCUGGAUGUUGCCAGACAAACCCUAUGGCUGAAAAGGUUGUGAAAUGACAUUCAUUUGUCUUAUGCUUAGAAUAAAUUAGUUAAUUAGAUACACAU